CCGACAGAAGUUGUGAUAGUUGAAACUGUUGUUUCAUUGGUUCACAUUUGCUGUAACACAGAUACUUUGGAGGCCUAGAGGCUUGCUGAUUGAUCAGUUUGACUAGAAAGAAGAUUUUGUUAACGCGUUGUUUACUUCAUCCUUCAUCCCAGGAUAUCUUGCUCCGAGACCAGCAACAAUGUUUCGGAAUAGACUUUGCGUUGAUGGGGAUUUGACAUUGUUUAUGCCACCCACUUCCGCUACUCAGACGGUAUCUCUGAGUUUUAUCUUGUGCAAUGAUUCUUUAGAGAAAAUAACUUAAAUACUUUAUGAAUAAAUUGCGAAGAUGUCUUAUGGUUGUUGAUUUGCUGUAGAGAUGAACCAUAUGUUGCAUAGCUUUCUUCUUGAUGUCAGCUUCUAACCACUAGGUGUUAGCUUUGAUGAAAAAGUCUAUCAAUGGGACCUAUCGUUGUAUUGAACUAGAGAGCUUCUAUUACUAUAACUUGAACCUGUCUUUUUCCACUCCCAACCGUCAGGGAGAUCCCUUUCAUGUUUUUAUUUUUUGGGUGGUGGGUUUGUGUAUAACCCAACCAAAUUGGAACUCUAUCUGAUGAUUCCUCAUACAAAAAGUUAGAAUCCCUGUUUUCUUUCUUACCUAUAAUCUCUUCAGAAUCUGAUAAAUUAAACAAUCUUGUACUCCUGGAUGCUUAAUUCGAUUGUAUGUUCACUUCUUUUCAAAUUGAAUAUGCUGAAGUAGCUGAGCUGAUUAACUGAGGAGCAUUUGCAGUGAUUUUGUUAUGCUUCCUUUCAAACACUAUGGUCUAUCUGCCCGUAGACCUUAGAAUUUAACUAUCCUAGGUUCAAUUUAAAGAACAGUUUGGCAGAGUCGUCUUACCUACAAUUAACAACUCUUUAAACGUUUGUUUUUGCAGUUGGUUAUUUUCUGUUUUAUGGAACUGGUACCUUUUUUCUGAAUUCCAAAGGACAGAAAGAAAGAAUAAGACAACGGAUUUCUAGUGCAUGGAUUAUUGUAGGUAGUAUAUGAUGGUUCACUAUUUCUGCUUAAUUUGCUGGUUUGCUUUUGCGCGUUCCCAGCCAGUCGAUUGGGAUAUGAAGGGAUUGGUAUUAGCCCCGAUUGCAACCCUGAGAAUAGCGCUACUCCAAGAGAGCUUUUCAAUUGGGCGCUAGAGCCAGCAGAGGAUUAUAUUCUUGAUAAGCUAUGUGAGGAUGGAUAUUCAGAUGCAGCUGUGGGGGCUAAACAGAAUCCUGUCGAUGAAAUAGUUCAAGACGAUCAACAGUACAUUGGCAACAAUGUAGUUUCGUAGUACCGUUUGUCUAUAAGUUCAAUCUGGUUCAAAUUGAGAGAGAGAGAGAGAGA